rnacentral:tRNA from 1 species
GGGCCUUUAGCUCAGUUGGUUAGAGCGUCCGGCUCAUAACCGGAUGGUCCUGGGUUCGAGCCCCCGAAGGCCCACCA